AAAUUUCGUUGCAAAAUGUUGUAAAAUGCGGAUAAUAUAGCCUUGCGAAAUUUUCAGUCAGUUUUAGAUUACAAACGGGAAAUGGUUACCACUUCUGUGCGUAAUACAAAAUGACUGAAAAUUACAAACUUCGCAAGGCUAUAUUAUCCGCAUUUUACAACAUUUUGCAACGAAACUU